rnacentral:rRNA from 1 species
AGAGUUUGAUCCUGGCUCAGAGCGAACGUUGGCGGCGCGCCUAACACAUGCAAGUCGAACGCGAAAAGCAUUCGUGCUGAGUAGAGUGGCGCAAGGGUGAGUAACACGUAAGUAAUCUGCCCUCUGGAUUGGGAUAACAUGCCGAAAGGCGUGCUAAUACCGAAUAAGACCACGACCUCUGCGGAGGUUGCGAGAAAAGUUGGGGAUCCGAAAGGACCUAACACCGGAGGAUGGGCUUGCGGCCUAUCAGCUAGUUGGCGGGGUAACGGCCCACCAAGGCAAAGACGGGUAGCUGGUCUGAGAGGAUGAUCAGCCACACUGGAACUGAGACACGGUCCAGACUCCUACGGGAGGCAGCAGUGGGGAAUUUUGCACAAUGGACGAAAGUCUGAUGCAGCGACGCCGCGUGUGCGAUGAAGGCCUUUGGGUCGUAAAGCACUGUCGAACGGGACGAAAACUCCGGUACUAAUACUAUCGGAGUCUGACGGUACUGUUAAAGGAAGCACCGGCUAACUCUGUGCCAGCAGCCGCGGUAAUACAGAGGGUGCGAACGUUGCUCGGAAUUAUUGGGCGUAAAGCGCGUGUAGGCGGCUUGUUAAGUUGGUCGUGAAAGCCCAUGGCUCAACCAUGGAAGUGCAACCAAAACUGGCAAGCUUGAGUAUUGAAGAGGAUGGCGGAAUUCCCAGUGUAGAGGUGAAAUUCGUAGAUAUUGGGAGGAACAUCGGUGGCGAAGGCGCCAUCUGGGAAGUACUGCGCUGAGNNGCGAAAGCGUGGGUAGCAANNAGGAUUAGAUACCCNNGUAGUCC